rnacentral:snRNA from 1 species
AGCUUCGCACAGUGGCAGUAUUGUAGCCAAUGAGUUUUAUCCGAGGCAUGAUUAUUGCUAAUUGAACACAAAAGUUG